rfam:Stegodyphus mimosarum contig125750, whole genome shotgun sequence.
GCCUUUGUGGUGUAGUGGUCAGCACGCUCGACGCGUAACCGAGAGGUCCGUGGUUCGAAUCCCGGCGAAGGCG